rnacentral:piRNA from 1 species
UUGAACAGGCUGUUAUAAGUACUGAUAUGGU